rnacentral:sRNA from 1 species
CAAGAGUGUCCAUGCUGCCCCUAUUCCUGCUCCAAAAGAACUGACAAAUAAAGAGGCAGAAAGGGAUAUGCUGCCUUCUCUGGAGCAGACUCUUUCUCCCUUAAGUAAAACGCCUCACUCUGUUCCACAACCCCUUGUUGAAAAAACUGAUGAUGAUGUCAUCGGUCAGGCUCCUGCUGAAGCCUCCCCUCCUCCCAUAGCUCCGAAACCUGCGACAAUUCCUGCUAGUCAGGUAUCCACACAAAAUCUGAAGACUUUGAAAACUUUUGGAGCCCCACGACCAUACUCAAAUUCUGGUCCUUCACCGUUUGCUCUUGCUGUAGUGAAGAGGUCACAGUCUUUCAGUAAAGAGCGCACCGAGUCACCUAGUGCCAGUGCAUCCGUCCAACCUCCAGCCAACACAGAAGAAGGGAAGACUCAUUCUGUAAAUAAAUUUGUAGACAUCCCACAACUUGGUGUGUCUGAUAAGUUCUGUGUAUUGGUGAAGUCAGCAGUAUUUAACUCAAGAACAAUAAAAUUACCACUGUAUUUAUGAAGCA